rnacentral:rRNA from 1 species
CCUACGGGAGGCAGCAGUGGGGAAUUGUUCGCAAUGGGCGCAAGCCUGACGACGCAACGCCGCGUGGAGGAUGAAGACCUUCGGGUCGUAAACUCCUUUCGAUCGAGACGAACGGCUUCCGGGUGAACAAUCCGGAAGAGUGACGGUACCGAGAGAAGAAGCCCCGGCUAACUCCGUGCCAGCAGCCGCGGUAAUACGGGGGGGGCAAGCGUUGUUCGGAAUUACUGGGCGUAAAGGGCUCGUAGGCGGCCAACUAAGUCAGACGUGAAAUCCCUCGGCUUAACCGGGGAACUGCGUCUGAUACUGGAUGGCUUGAGGUUGGGAGAGGGAUGCGGAAUUCCAGGUGUAGCGGUGAAAUGCGUAGAUAUCUGGAGGAACACCGGUGGCGAAGGCGGCAUCCUGGACCAAUUCUGACGCUGAGGAGCGAAAGCCAGGGGAGCAAACGGGAUUAGAUACCCCGGUAGUCCUGGCCCUAAACGAUGAAUGCUUGGUGUGGCGGGUAUCGAUCCCUGCCGUGCCGAAGCUAACGCAUUAAGCAUUCCUCCUGGGGAGACGGUCGCAAGGCUGAAACUCAAGGAAUUGACGGCNGNGAGNGCGACGACGACGACGAGGGAGAGG